rnacentral:lncRNA from 1 species
AUUUUGGCCCAGUUGGCGCCUGAGUAAGAUGUUCUCGCUGCUCUGCUCAGGGCAUGAAGAUCUGGGGCAGGUGCAGGACUUGGGGCCCCAGAGGGUGCCACAUUCAACUGCCCUUGGGAGUGGGCUGGUGCCUGGGAGCGAGAGCGCGGCCGUCCGGCGCCUGUGUGAGCCCAUAGGGCGGCUCCGCCAGGGAACCAGGGGUCCGUCCCGCUGGGCGGACAGGCACGGGAGCUGAGAGAGGGGGCCGGGCCCAGGCCACAGGCCCUCCAAGGAAGCCACAGAGCCAGCUAAUGACACUCAGGGACUGCAGGAAGCUUUGGGAAGCUUCGGCAAGGGGAGGAACGCUGCUUCUACCCUACCAUUUGGGGAGUAGCACCACUUGAUGGAAGAGAACAUUCUUCAGUCUUCUCCUCACCAUGGCUUGAGAAUCGCAUAAUCUCGCUGUGCCCAGCUUUCCUCAUCCCUGAACAGGGCCAGCUUGCCUUAUCCAUGAACUGUAUCACUGCAACACCAAACCGAGCUGUGCUCUAACAGCAUUUAGUCAACUGCAGAUGGUUUUUGCAAAUAUUAGAUGCUACUACUUUUGCUGAUGUAAUAUUUUUUAACACACGAAGUGACAUGAAAUGUGUUCAUGAUAUUCUCUGCCCACUGAUUCAUGACCUCUUCUCAUGCUUCAGGGGUCAAAACAAUCAGUGCUGUCCAACAGCCGUUAGGGACCGGGGCUUCCCUCCUCCCCAGCUUGGAACCUCAAGCCACUGCCCACAGCUAGCAAGCACAUGUGCCACGCAGUGACCUCUUGGCCUUCCCAGCAAAAAUAUCCUAUUUUGGCAUAUGGGCUUGACCCACAGUAGGAAAACUUGGCACUACUGUACAUAUGAUUUCAUUUAAGGAGUGGGAAGAUAAACAUGCCAGCUGCACUUACUCACUGAUGGGAAAAGUUCUUUGAGUUACACAGUUUCAAACAGGAACAGCCAGGAGACUGGGGACUUAAAUCAUAACUAUUGUAUAAAUAAUGGGAGCUGCUCCCUGAGCUAAACACCGCCCUUUGGCAGAGGUGGAGCCUUUUGGCAGAGGGAGGCAGGAGAAGAGUGUGGGAAGUGAAGAAGUUCCUGAGGUGACAAAGCGAAUUGCACUGGAGAGAAGGGGGGAUAAAGCAGCUUCCCAGGAACUAGCACAGGAACACCUGGCUGUUCCCUGAGGACAGGAGAAGAAAGGCCUCUCCUGCAGAAAUGAGAUUAAAAUACAAUCAGGAGCCACACGAAUACUCUAUCUCCUUUGAUAUGCUGUCUUGUCUGUCUGUUUAAGGGUGUCUUUGGGACUAGUAAAGCCACUCUUCCCUGAAGGAUUCCUUCGCUUUUCAUAGUUUUCAGUGCUGCCGUGUUCACAGACACGCCUCUGCAGCUGCACCUGGCAGAAUAGCUUGGGUUUCCCUAGAAACGCUCUUUGAGAAAGGAAUAGAGGCAGAAUUGCCCUUGGUGAUCUCCUAAGAAAUGGGGUCCAUGUUCAUCUGAAGAUAGGAAUGAAAAAUUCAUCCUUUUGGUUCAACCAGAUUCAUACAUGGCUAAAUCCUCUGGGAUAUGGUGAAAGCUGACCCUUGAAAGCCCCUAACAUUACAAAACAAGGAGCCAAAUGCAGACAGACUUCAGGCCCACAGAACGCCUCCAUGGGAAUUAUCAGCGAAGUAAUCAUCUCACUCUCCUAACUUCAGGAGAAAAUAUGAGUCAGCAAAGACUAAAUUGGUUUAAAAAUAGAAUAUUUGCAAAAUGGAAAAGUCAGAUGAAUUCACGCUAUGAAUCAAUAGACCUUUAAAGAUAAGGCACAGCAAGCAUUUUGGAUGACAUUAAUGAAAGACCUGUGUUGGCAUAGUGUGCUGCAGGAAAGGUCGGGGGUCACCACAGCCACUACCAGACCUUAAAUAUAAUCCUGAAAUUAAAUAUGUACGUAAAAUAGUUUCUAGAGCACAAAAGGUGAAGCUAAAGGUGAGUGCUACUUGAUCUUUCGUGUGUGUGUAAUUAAAGAUUUCGAUGUAAAAUGUACAACAGAAAAGAUACUGUAUUUCAAUAAUAAGAAAAAUAAAUAAAUUAUUCCCCCAGUGCUCCAAAUUCCUCGUGUCAUACAAAUCUUUCUCAUCUACUUUGCUGAAAGUUGCUCAAGAAUGUCUUAUUCACCUUUGACUCUCCUACUUAGGUUUAUGGAUACAGAAAGUAUUCAAUAAAGAGUGAAUAAUUUA